rnacentral:rRNA from 1 species
UUAAAUUGAAGAGUUUGAUCAUGGCUCAGAUUGAACGCUGGCGGCAGGCCUAACACAUGCAAGUCGAGCGGAAACGAGUUAUCUGAACCUUCGGGGAACGAUAGCGGCGUCGAGCGGCGGACGGGUGAGUAAUGCCUAGGAAAUUGCCCUGAUGUGGGGGAUAACCAUUGGA